GAUGAACGCUAGCGGGAGGCCUAACACAUGCAAGCCGAGCGGUAUUGUUUCUUCGGAAAUGAGAGAGCGGCGUACGGGUGCGGAACACGUGUGCAACCUGCCUUUAUCUGGGGGAUAGCCUUUCGAAAGGAAGAUUAAUACUCCAUAAUAUAUUGAUUGGCAUCAAUUAAUAUUGAAAGCUCCGGCGGAUAGAGAUGGGCACGCGCAAGAUUAGCUAGUUGGUGAGGUAACGGCUCACCAAGGCGAUGAUCUUUAGGGGGCCUGAGAGGGUGAUCCCCCACACUGGUACUGAGACACGGACCAGACUCCUACGGGAGGCAGCAGUGAGGAAUAUUGGUCAAUGGGUGCAAGCCUGAACCAGCCAUCCCGCGUGAAGGACGACUGCCCUAUGGGUUGUAAACUUCUUUUGUAUAGGGAUAAACCUACCCUCGUGAGGGUAGCUGAAGGUACUAUACGAAUAAGCACCGGCUAACUCCGUGCCAGCAGCCGCGGUAAUACGGAGGGUGCAAGCGUUAUCCGGAUUUAUUGGGGUUAAAGGGUCCGUAGGCGGACUUAUAAGUCAGUGGUGAAAGCCUGUCGCUUAACGAUAGAACUGCCAUUGAUACUGUAAGUCCUGAGUAUAUUUGAGGUAGCUGGAAUAAGUAGUGUAGCGGUGAAAUGCAUAGAUAUUACUUAGAACACCAAUUGCGAAGGCAGGUUACCAAGAUAUAACUGACGCUGAGGGACGAAAGCGUGGGGAGCGAACAGGAUUAGAUACCCUGGUAGUCCACGCCGUAAACGAUGCUAACUCGUUUUUGGGCUUUAGGGUUCAGAGACCAAGCGAAAGUGAUAAGUUAGCCACCUGGGGAGUACGCUCGCAAGAGUGAAACUCAAGGGAAUUGACGGGGGCCCGCACAAGCGGUGGAUUAUGUGGUUUAAUUCGAUGAUACGCGAGGAACCUUACCAAGACUUAAAUGGGAAUUGACAGCUUUAGAAAUAGAGCUUUCUUCGGACAAUUUUCAAGGUGCUGCAUGGUUGUCGUCAGCUCGUGCCGUGAGGUGUUAGGUUAAGUCCUGCAACGAGCGCAACCCCUGUCACUAGUUGCCAUCAUUCAGUUGGGGACUCUAGUGAGACUGCCUACGCAAGUAGAGAGGAAGGUGGGGAUGACGUCAAAUCAUCACGGCCCUUACGUCUUGGGCCACACACGUAAUACAAUGGCCGGUACAGAGGGCAGCUACACAGCGAUGUGAUGCAAAUCUCGAAAGCCGGUCUCAGUUCGGAUUGGAGUCUGCAACUCGACUCUAUGAAGCUGGAAUCGCUAGUAAUCGCGCAUCAGCCAUGGCGCGGUGAAUACGUUCCCGGGCCU
rnacentral:rRNA from 1 species